AGAGUUUGAUCCUGGCUCAGGAUGAGCGCUAGCUACAGGCUUAACACAUGCAAGUCGAGGGGAAACGACAUCGAAAGCUUGCUUUUGAUGGGCGUCGACCGGCGCACGGGUGAGUAACGCGUAUCCAACCUGCCCAUCACUUGGGGAUAACCUUGCGGAAGUAAGACUAAUACCCAAUGACGUCUCUAGAAGACAUCUGAAAGAGAUUAAAGAUUUAUCGGUGAUGGAUGGGGAUGCGUCUGGAUUAGCUUGUUGGCGGGGUAACGGCCCACCAAGGCGACGAUCAGUAGGGGUUCUGAGAGGAAGGUCCCCCACAUUGGAACUGAGACACGGUCCAAACUCCUACGGGAGGCA
rnacentral:rRNA from 1 species